GCCUCGGUGGCGGAACUGGUAGACGCAUGCGACUCAAAAUCGUAUAUCCUUACGGGUGUGGGGGUUCGAUUCCCCCCCGAGGUA
rnacentral:tRNA from 1 species